rnacentral:lncRNA from 1 species
ACAGGAGGAUUUUUGCAGAGCUUCCAUCCAGUUCAGAAACAAAGCAAUUCAAUACAUGUCUUCAAGAUUUCUAAAGGCAAUGACUUAAUUCUAAGUUCCAUGAAAGCAGGCAUUGUGUGAAUUUCUCCUGCAUCUGGAACUGGCCUAGCACACCAAGUACAUGUUCCCACCUGAAGAACUUCCUUGAAGAUGUCUUAUAGUGCAGGUCUGCUGUUUAUCUUGCUUAGGGUUCAUUAAACUUCUUGGAUUUAUCAGAUGCUGGCCAUUUUUAUAUUAUAUGGAUGAGUGUCCAGAUUCAGUUAUAUUCUUUUAACAACUGUUGAAAUUUAUUCUGGCAGAUAGUUAAUUUUAUGUGUCAACUUGACUGGGCCACAGGAUGCUGAGAUACCUGGUUCAACAUUAUUUAUGGGUGUUGAAAAGCUAAUUCACAGCUCCCCAGCUGCCUACUUGUGGGGACAGCUUUCUUCGGCUGCAGGCAGUAAUUGCUUUACUGCUAUCCUAAAUUGCCCUGGAGAAGAAAGCAAAGCUUUGCUUGCUUUAUCCUGUGGAUUUAAAGCAGUGCCUAUACUUGCUCUGCAUAGAAGAGAACUUCUCCUACAGAUAUUUUUAUUCUAAUCCACGCAACACAUUCCAGUUGAAACAAGAUUUUGAAGACACGCCCUAGUGUACAUUUUAUCUGCACUGGCCUCAUGAGGAAAAUCAAAUAAGAUUAUCUUACAUUACAAAAUUUUCUUGCAUACUUUAUGCAACAGUGGAAACAACACAGGAUUGGAAUUAGAAGACCUGGUUUUAAAUACCAAAUUGUUCCCCAGAAUGAUCUGAUCCUACUGCUUAGCCUAUCUGGAUGUCAGUUUCUACAUCUCUAAAAGGAAGACACACAGAGGAGAAUGCUAUCUGAAGAUGGAGGCAGAGAUUGAAGUGAUGCAUCUACAGGGAUUGCUGGCCGCCACCACAAGCUAGAAGAAGCAAGGGAGGAUUAUUCCCUAGAGCCUUUGGAUGGAGCAAGAAUCCAAGAAGACUCUAAAACCUCCAGUACUCAUGAAGAGAUGAGUUUGCUCAUUAUCAAUCUCAUUGAUCCUUAGCAUCGGAGCUGAGAGGGAGCCAGGAUGUUCAUCACACUGUGUAAAUGGCCUCUGUGAAGAACUUCCUGGGUUCCAUGAAAAGUAUUAUCUAUCAAUAUAUGCCCUUAUUACUCAGGAAGCAAAUGGAAUGACUGGCUUUCAGAAGGUGAGAUCAGAGAGAACAUUCAAGCUGGAUCUUCUGUUACAAGAUUGAAUAAAAGUGGUAAGAGGGGCUAUCCUUGCUUUGUGCCCCGUCAUAGAAGAAAUGCAUCUAUUUUCUCAUCAUUUAAUGUGAUGUAGCUGUGGACUUUUGGAAGGUUUUUUUUUUUUUUUUUUAAAUCAAGUUGAAGUAGUUCUACCCUAUUCCCAAUUUGCUGAGAGUUUUUAUCAUGAAUGAAUGUUGCAUUUUUGCAAAUGCUUUUUCUGAAUCUAUUGACUUCUGAUUGUAUAAUUUGUCUUUGUCAUAUGAUCAUUUGGUUUUUCUCCUUUAUCCUGUUGAUGUGAUUGAUUAUAUUAAUGUAUUUUUGUGAUUGAUUAUAUUAAUGUAUUUUUGAAUGUUGAAUCAAUCUUGCAUACCUGAAUAAAUUUCACUUGGUUGUGGCAUAUAA